rnacentral:rRNA from 1 species
AUGAACGCUGGCGGCGUGCCUAACACAUGCAAGUCGAACGGAAGAUUAUCGCUGAUGAAGCUUCGGCAGAAUCCUGAUGAUCUUAGUGGCGGACGGGUGAGUAACGCGUGGGCAACCUGCCUCGUACUGGGGGAUAACAGCUGGAAACGACUGUUAAUACCGCAUAAGCGCACGGUGUCGCAUGACACAGUGUGAAAAACUCCGGUGGUACGAGAUGGGCCCGCGUCAGAUUAGCCAGUUGGUGGGGUAACGGCCUACCAAAGCAACGAUCUGUAGCCGGACUGAGAGGUCGGACGGCCACAUUGGGACUGAGACACGGCCCAAACUCCUACGGGAGGCAGCAGUGGGGGAUAUUGCACAAUGGGCGAAAGCCUGAUGCAGCGACGCCGCCGUGAGUGAAGAAGUAUUUCGGUAUGUAAAGCUCUAUCAGCAGGGAAGAAAGACCCAUUAAGGGAGAUGACGGUACCUGACUAAGAAGCCCCGGCUAACUACGUGCCAGCCGCGGC